UAUGGCUAUAUCACGUUGAAACACCGGUUCUCGUACGAUCAGCGAAGUUAAGUAACGUCGAACCUGGUCAGUACCUAGAUGGGUGACCGCU